GCCCCCGUAGCUCAGGGGAUAGAGUGCUGGCCUCCGGAGCCAGAGACGGGAGUUCGAAUCUCCCCGGGGGUA
rnacentral:tRNA from 1 species